rnacentral:lncRNA from 1 species
AGAAAAGGUGUUCGGUACACACCUAAUUCGCGACGACUGCUUCUGAGAUCCCUUUCGAUGUCCUACAAUUUAUUAGCACAGUUCUUAUUUACAAACCAUAAUCACUAAACCCCCAAAACUUACUUAUCCAUGAUCGAACCAUAUCCCUAAAAGCCUUUGAACCCUUACCUUUUUGCCAAAAUCGAUAGCUAGCUCCGAA